rnacentral:rRNA from 1 species
UAGGGAAUCUUCCACAAUGGACGAAAGUCUGAUGGAGCAACGCCGCGUGAGUGAUGAAGGUUUUCGGAUCGUAAAACUCUGUUGUAAGGGAAGAACAAGUGCGUUAGGUAAUGAACGCACCUUGACGGUACCUUAUUAGAAAGCCACGGCUAACUACGUGCCAGCAGCCGCGGUAAUACGUAGGUGGCAAGCGUUGUCCGGAUUUAUUGGGCGUAAAGCGCGCGCAGGUGGUUUCUUAAGUCUGAUGUGAAAGCCCACGGCUCAACCGUGGAGGGUCAUUGGAAACUGGGAGACUUGAGUGCAGAAGAGGAUAGUGGAAUUCCAAGUGUAGCGGUGAAAUGCGUAGAGAUUUGGAGGAACACCAGUGGCGAAGGCGACUGUCUGGUCUGUAACUGACACU